rnacentral:misc_RNA from 1 species
CAUAUGGAUUUUAAAUUUAAAUCUUAGUUAAUCUCAUUGACACUUGUGUGCCUGUAGACUUUAAAUAUGCCUUGGUGCUUGAGCCAACUAAUAAAAGAGCAGCCGUUUCUGCUGAAAGAUUACGGAAGGUGUUUCAAUAGGAGAUCAAAGUGAAUGCAUCUGUCGAGGAAUGACAAAGUAUCCAAUUUAUCAUUUUUUCAUAAAAGCCUCAUUAACUUCUCUGCAGCAGAUGACACAGUUAAACAGUUUGAUGAGUGUUGCUUCUCAGUUAUCUUACACACAAAAAAUGGCUUGAAGAAUGCUUUGCAAGUAGAGAAGGGAUGGUAAUCCUUCUUCAUGGAAGGUCUGAAGAGCGAGGGUUUUUUUUUUUUUGGUGGCAAUCAGUUUAGCAUAAGUGGGUAAUUAUCACUGUUGUCAGCAUUGGUAAUUAUGUUGCAAUUUUGUUCAUUUUAAUAUUUUAUGAAAGGGUUGUAAUUUUAGUUUUGAGAAGGAUUUGUCUACGUAUGAUCUUGUGUUGAUUAUGUAGCUUAUAAUUGACGUUGUUUUUCCUUUGAAACUACUUUACCUGGGAUUUAUGGUUUUCUUCUU